GACAGAGGUGCCAAGCGUUAGGCGGAAUCACUGGGCUUAAAGCGUGUGUAGGCGGAUCGUUAAGUACCUUGUGAAAUCCCACGGCUCAACCGUGGAACUGCUGGGUAUACUGGCGAUCUUGAGCCACCUAGGGGCGAGCGGAACAAACGGUGGAGCGGUGAAAUGCGUAGAUACCGUUUGGAACGCCAACGGUGAAAACAGCUCGCUGGGGGUGUGCUGACGCUGAGACACGAAAGCCAGGGGAGCGAACGGG
rnacentral:rRNA from 1 species